rnacentral:tRNA from 1 species
UGGCAUAUAGUUCAGCGGUAGAACAUCCGGCUGUUAACCGGAAUGUCGCAGGUUCGAUUCCUGCUAUGUCAG